rnacentral:lncRNA from 1 species
CUCUAAGGCUGUCUCACCCUCUUGUGAAUCAUUCCCUCUGUCAUCUCUAAGUGUAUCUGAGGCUGACGUAGAAGGGGCGAAUCCCAACCCCUAAGUUCAUUUUGAGAGAGAAGGAGCGUGUGCAUUCAGCCUCUCCGAGUUAGGACCCGAGACAGCAUCCAGGGCCCUGUCUUUGACCUCUCUUCCUAGUCUUCACUGUUAUGACCGUUUCCUUGCUAUUCUGAGGGUAGUCCUGUGACUGGAGCAGAGAAGGGCCACCAGUCAUGAGGAGAGCAUCUCCAGCCUUCAUUGUGACCAGGCAAAGUGUGGAUGGUUGCCAAGACAGAAGUCCCUCCUGUGCAGGCUGUUUCUGAACUCAGCUGAAGCUUCUGGGUAGCGGAGCUUAUCUGGCUGCAUCCGGAUAAGAGCUCUCUUUGUAAGCGACUGACUUGAGAUAGAGUUUGCCAGCUCCGGAGGUACAGAACAUGUGUUUAUGUUUGCCCCGGAAGCAGGUGUUAGAGAUGUGAG